GAUGAACGCUGGCGGCGUGCCUUAUACAUGCAAGUCGAGCGAAGCGGGGACGGGGGUGAAACACGUGGAUAACCUCCUAUAAGACUGGGAUUACUUAGGGGAACCGGAGCUAAACCGGAUACUUAGAGAUGGAUCCGCUCUGUAUUAGCUAGUUGGUAAGGUAACGGCGUACAAAGGCAACGAUGCAUAGCCGACCUGAGAGGAUGAUCGGCCACACUGGGACUGAGACACGGUCCAGACUCCUACGGGAGGCAGCAGUGGGGAAUCUUGCGCAAUGGGCGAAAGCCUGACGGAGCAAUGCCGCGUGAGUGAUGAAGGUCUUCGGAUCGUAAAACUCUGUUAUUAGGGAAGCGGUACCUACUCAGAAAGCCCCGGCUAACUACGUGCCAGCAGCCGCGGUAAUAC
rnacentral:rRNA from 1 species